AUUGAACGCUGGCGGCAGGCCUAACACAUGCAAGUCGAGCGGAUGAAGGGAGCUUGCUCCUGGAUUCAGCGGCGGAUGGGUGAGUAAUGCCUAGGAAUCUGCCUGGUAGUGGGGGAUAACGUCCGGAAACGGGCGCUAAUACCACAUACGUCCUGAGGGAGAAAGUGGGGGAUCUUCGGACCUCACGCUAUCAGAUGAGCCUAGGUCGGAUUAGCUAGUUGGUGGGGUAAAGGCCUACCAAGGCGACGAUCCGUAACUGGUCUGAGAGGAUGAUCAGUCACACUGGAACUGAGACACGGUCCAGACUCCUACGGGAGGCAGCAGUGGGGAAUAUUGGACAAUGGGCGAAAGCCUGAUCCAGCCAUGCCGCGUGUGUGAAGAAGGUCUUCGGAUUGUAAAGCACUUUAAGUUGGGAGGAAGGGCAGUAAGUUAAUACCUUGCUGUUUUGACGUUACCAACAGAAUAAGCACCGGCUAACUUCGUG
rnacentral:rRNA from 1 species